CAGAGACAGGCACUGAGAUACCAAGGCGCUGAUACUUCAAGGAACAUACAACAUUUUCAGCACCAAAUCUAUUUACUACAAAAAAACAGCAAAACUCCUGAACUGACUUCAGAGAAAAAAUCACAACAGUGGUAUAUUGAUCCUGAAACGCGAACAAUCCUGAAGACUGUUACCUCUUCAGGACAAGCCAACAGAAUUAUGUGAUUGUUUUUGUAUCCCCUCUCUCUAAAGUAAAUUUCAUCGUUUAAAGCAAUAAUCCUGAGUUUAGCCUAGCUGGAAAAAGGAUGCUCCACCUAUUGUGAGACUUAUCUUCAGUAAAAUGUGUUUUCACUCUUCAUUUUCAGAACUUCAUAAUGUCUUCUGUUUCUGCUGUUGCCACUCAUUCAUACCUGUGUGUCUCAUACAUUGUCC
rnacentral:lncRNA from 1 species